rnacentral:rRNA from 1 species
CUAACUCCGUGCCAGCAGCCGCGGUAAUACGGGAGUGGCAAGCGUUAUCCGGAAUUAUUGGGCGUAAAGCGUCCGCAGGCGGCCCUACAAGUCUGCUGUUAAAAAGUGGAGCUUAACUCCAUCAUGGCAGUGGAAACUGUUGGGCUUGAGUGUGAUAGGGGCAGAGGGAAUUCCCGGUGUAGCGGUGAAAUGCGUAGAUAUCGGGAAGAACACCAGUGGCGAAGGCGCUCUGCUGGGCCAUCACUGACGCUCAUGGACGAAAGCCAGGGGAGCGAAAGGGAUUAGAUACCCCUGUAGUCCUGGCCGUAAACGAUGAACACUAGGUGUCGGGGGAAUCGACCCCUCCGGUGUCGUAGCCAACGCGUUAAGUGUUCCGCCUGGGGAGUACGUCCGCAAGACUAA